rnacentral:rRNA from 1 species
UGGACGUAAAAGUCGUAACAAGGUCUCCGUUGGUGAACCAGCGGAGGGAUCAUUACCGAGUUUACAACUCCCAAACCCAAUGUGAACGUUACCAAACUGUUGCCUCGGCGGGGUCACGCCCCGGGUGCGUCGCAGCCCCGGAACCAGGCGCCCGCCGGAGGAACCAACCAAACUCUUUCUGUAGUCCCCUCGCGGACGUAUUUCUUACAGCUCUGAGCAAAAAUUCAAAAUGAAUCAAAACUUUCAACAACGGAUCUCUUGGUUCUGGCAUCGAUGAAGAACGCAGCGAAAUGCGAUAAGUAAUGUGAAUUGCAGAAUUCAGUGAAUCAUCGAAUCUUUGAACGCACAUUGCGCCCGCCAGUAUUCUGGCGGGCAUGCCUGUCCGAGCGUCAUUUCAACCCUCGAACCCCUCCGGGGGAUCGGCGUUGGGGAUCGGGACCCCUCACACGGGUGCCGGCCCCGAAAUACAGUGGCGGUCUCGCCGCAGCCUCUCCUGCGCAGUAGUUUGCACAACUCGCACCGGGAGCGCGGCGCGUCCACGUCCGUAAAACACCCAACUUUCUGAAAUGUUGACCUCGGAUCAGGUAGGAAUACCCGCUGAACUUAAGCAUAUCAAUAAGCGGAGGA